AGAUACUUGCCUUCAUGUUUUGGGGCUAGUCCCUAGUUCCUACUUGUCAGCCCGGGUGUAACUCCACACCACCCUGUGACUCUCCACCCUUUCAGAUCAAGAUGCUGUCAGAUCGGAAACGGGAGCUGGAGCAUCGUCUCAGCGCUACUUUAGAGGAAAAUGACCUGCUCCAAGGGACCGUGGAGGAGCUACAGGACCGGGUGCUAAUCCUGGAGAGACAGGGCCAUGACAAGGACCUACAGCUGCACCAAAGCCAGCUGGAGCUUCAGGAGGUGCGUCUCUCCUGCCGACAGCUGCAGGUGAAGGUGGAAGAACUCACUGAGGAGAGGAGUCUGCAGAGCUCUGCCGCCACCAGCACAUCCCUCCUGUCAGAGAUAGAGCAGAGCAUGGAGGCUGAGGAGCUGGAGCAAGAGCGAGAGCAGGUGACACUGCUGAGUGUGGAGAUGACUGCCCUAAAAGAGGAGAGAGACCGACUCAGAGUCACAUCUGAGGACAAGGAGCCAAAGGAGCAGCUUCAGAAGGCCAUCAGGGACCGCGACGAGGCCAUUGCAAAG
rnacentral:sRNA from 1 species